AUUAUACAGCGAAACUGCGAAUGGCUCAUUAUAUAAGUUAUCGUUUAUUUGAUAGUACCUUACUACUUGGAUAACCGUGGUAAUUCUAGAGCUAAUACAUGCUAAAAAUCCCGACUUCGGAAGGGAUGUAUUUAUUAGAUUAAAAACCAAUGCCCUUUGGGCUCCUUGGUGAUUCAUAAUAACUUUUCGAAUCGCAUGGCCUUGCGCCGGCGAUGGUUCAUUCAAAUUUCUUCCCUAUCAACUUUCGAUGUUUGGGUAUUGGCCAAACAUGGUCGCAACGGGUAACGGAGGGUUAGGGCUCGACCCCGGAGAAGGAGCCUGAGAAACGGCUACUACAUCCAAGGAAGGCAGCAGGCGCGCAAAUUACCCAAUCCCGAUUCGGGGAGGUAGUGACAAUAAAUACUGAUACAGGGCUCUUUUGGGUCUUGUAAUUGGAAUGAGUACAAUUUAAAUCCCUUAACGAGGAACAAUUGGAGGGCAAGUCUGGUGCCAGCAGCCGCGGUAAUUCCAGCUCCAAUAGCGUAUAUUAAAGUUGUUGUGGUUAAAAAGCUCGUAGUUGAACCUUGGGCCUGGCUGGCCGGUCCGCCUCACCGCGUGUACUGGUCCGGCCGGGCCUUUCCCUCUGUGGAACCUCAUGCCCUUCACUGGGUGUGGCGGGGAAACAGGACUUUUACUUUGAAAAAAUUAGAGUGCUCCAGGCAGGCCUAUGCUCGAAUACAUUAGCAUGGAAUAAUAAAAUAGGACGUGUGGUUCUAUUUUGUUGGUUUCUAGGACCGCCGUAAUGAUUAAUAGGGACAGUCGGGGGCAUCAGUAUUCAAUUGUCAGAGGUGAAAUUCUUGGAUUUAUUGAAGACUAACUACUGCGAAAGCAUUUGCCAAGGAUGUUUUCAUUAAUCAGGAACGAAAGUUAGGGGAUCGAAGACGAUCAGAUACCGUCGUAGUCUUAACCAUAAACUAUGCCGACUAGGGAUCGGACGAUGUUAUUUUUUGACGCGUUCGGCACCUUACGAG
rnacentral:rRNA from 1 species